UGGCGCACGGGUGCGUAACGCGUAUGCAACCUACCUUAAUCUGGGGGAUAGCCCGGAGAAAUCCGGAUUAAUACCGCAUAAAAUCACAGGAUGGCAUUAUCCAAUGAUCAAACAUUUAUGGGAUUGAGAUGGGCAUGCGUGUCAUUAGCUAGUUGGCGGGGUAACGGCCCACCAAGGCGACGAUGACUAGGGGAUCUGAGAGGAUGGCCCCCCACACUGGUACUGAGACACGGACCAGACUCCUACGGGAGGCAGCAGUAAGGAAUAUUGGUCAAUGGAGGCAACUCUGAACCAGCCAUGCCGCGUGCAGGAAGACUGCCCUAUGGGUUGUAAACUGCUUUUAUCCGGGAAUAAACCUAAGUACGUGUACUUAGCUGAAUGUACCGGAAGAAUAAGGAUCGGCUAACUCCGUGCCAGCAGCCGCGGUAAUACGGAGGAUCCAAGCGUUAUCCGGAUUUAUUGGGUUUAAAGGGUGCGUAGGCGGCCUGUUAAGUCAGGGGUGAAAGACGGUAGCUCAACUAUCGCAGUGCCCUUGAUACUGAUGGGCUUGAAUGGACUAGAGGUAGGCGGAAUGAGACAAGUAGCGGUGAAAUGCAUAGAUAUGUCUCAGAACACCGAUUGCGAAGGCAGCUUACUAUGGUCUUAUUGACGCUGAGGCACGAAAGCGUGGGGAUCAAACAGGAUUAGAUACCCUGGUAGUCCACGCCCUAAACGAAUGAACACUCGCUGUUGGCGAAUACACAAGUCAGCGGCUAAGCGAAAGCGUUAAAGUGUUCCACCUGGGGAUGUACGCUCGCAAGAUAGUGAAACUCAAAGGAAUUGACGGGGGCCCGCACAAGCGGAGGAACAUGUGGUUUAAUUCGAUGAUUACGCGAUGGAACCUUACCCGGGCUUGAAAGUUAGUGAAUCAUUUAGAGAUAAAUGAGUGAGCAAUCACACGAAACUAGGUGCUGCAUGGCUGUCGUCAGCUCGUGCCGUGAGGUGUUGGGUUAAGUCCCGCAACGAGCGCAACCCCUAUGUUUAGUUGCCAGCACGUUAUGGUGGGGACUCUAAACAGACUGCCUGUGCAAACAGAGAGGAAGGAGGGGACGACGUCAAGUCAUCAUGGCCCUUACGUCCGGGGCUACACACGUGCUACAAUGGAUGGUACAGAGGGCAGCUACAUAGCAAUAUGAUGCGAAUCUCACAAAGCCAUUCACAGUUCGGAUUGGGGUCUGCAACUCGACCCCAUGAAGUUGGAUUCGCUAGUAAUCCGCGUAUCAGCAAUGACGCGGUGAAUACGUUCCCGGGCCUUGUACACACCGCCCGUCAAGCCAUGGAAGUUGGGGGUACUUAAAGUAUGUAACCGCAAGGA
rnacentral:rRNA from 1 species